rnacentral:rRNA from 1 species
AACGCGAAGAACCUUACCAGCUUUUGACAUGCCCUGGACGGAAGACAGAGAUGUCUUCUUCUCUUCGGAGCCGGGGACACAGGUGCUGCAUGGCUGUCGUCAGCUCGUGUCGUGAGAUGUUGGGUUAAGUCCCGCAACGAGCGCAACCCUCGCCCUUAGUUGCCAUCAUUCAGUUGGGCACUCUAGGGGGACUGCCGGUGAUAAGCCGGAGGAAGGUGGGGAUGACGUCAAGUCCUCAUGGCCCUUACAGGCUGGGCUACACACGUGCUACAAUGGCGGUGACAACGGGAUGCGAAGGGGCGACCCCGAGCAAAUCUCGAAAAGCCGUCUCAGUUCGGAUUGCACUCUGCAACUCGAGUGCAUGAAGUUGGAAUCGCUAGUAAUCGCAGAUCAGCACGCUGCGGUGAAUACGUUCCCGGGCCUUGUA